rnacentral:rRNA from 1 species
AGUGAACGCUGGCGGUAGGCCUAACACAUGCAAGUCGAACGGCAGCACAGUAAGAGCUUGCUCUUACGGGUGGCGAGUGGCGGACGGGUGAGGAAUACAUCGGAAUCUACUUUUUCGUGGGGGAUAACGUAGGGAAACUUACGCUAAUACCGCAUACGACCUACGGGUGAAAGCAGGGGAUCUUCGGACCUUGCGCGAUUGAUUGAGCCGAUGUCGGAUUAGCUAGUUGGCGGGGUAAAGGCCCACCAAGGCGACGAUCCGUAGCUGGUCUGAGAGGAUGAUCAGCCACACUGGAACUGAGACACGGUCCAGACUCCUACGUGAGGCAGCAGUGUGGAAUAUUGGACAAUAGGCGCAAGCCUGAUCCAGCCAUACCGCGUGGGUGAAGAAGGCCUUCGGGUUGUAAAGCCCUUUUGUUGGGGAAGAAAAGCAGCAGGUUAAUACCCCGCUGUUCUGACGGUACCCAAAGAAUAAGCACCGGCUAACUUCGUG